UUAUUUCCAGGAUGUCGUGGACGUAUCUUCUCCAGAGUGUGGGUCUGCAGAGCAGGGAUGGCUUUGGUUUCCAGGUCCUCCAUGAAAAAGUUACUCAUUAUGGCUGAAAGUGGAUCUUUUUUUCAACUUUAUUUUACCAGCAUUAAAACUUUGUCUGCAGAGAGAAAAGAACGACUCCGUUUUUUGCCAGACUGGAGGAUGUUGGAGGGAGUCUGUUAAUCUCUCUGGACCUGACAUUUGAAAACCUCCACCUCUCCUCACCCUCCCAGCCCACUGAUGUGAGGAAAUCCAGCUCUGAACAGACUGAACUCCUAAAUCCCUCCUGGAAGCUUCACCCUGAACAGACAACUGCAACGCCGUGGUAACGGGCAGAUUACAGCGUCAGACGUUCCUGCAGAAACCCUCAGAGCCCAGAGGGAUUCUUACCGAUGCUCAGGAGAUGGACGAGGAGAGGAAAC